CAGUAAAUAGUUUAUUUAAAAAUAUAGGUUUUGGAAAUUUAUGAAGUGUUUAUCAUUUUACUGA
rnacentral:tRNA from 1 species